rnacentral:rRNA from 1 species
UACGAAGGGGGCUAGCGUUGCUCGGAAUCACUGGGCGUAAAGGGUGCGUAGGCGGGUCUUUAAGUCAGGGGUGAAAUCCUGGAGCUCAACUCCAGAACUGCCUUUGAUACUGAAGAUCUUGAGUUCGGGUGAGGUGAGUGGAACUGCGAGUGUAGAGGUGAAAUUCGUAGAUAUUGGGAAGAACACCGGUGGCGAAGGCGGCUCACUGGCUCGUAACUGACGCUCAUGCACGACAGCGUGGGGAUCAAACAGG